rnacentral:rRNA from 1 species
UGGGGAAUUUUGGACAAUGGGCGAAAGCAUGAUCCAGCAAUGCCGCGUGUGUGAAGAAGGCCUUCGGGUUGUAAAGCACUUUUGUCCGGAAAGAAAUGGCUCUGGUUAAUACCUGGGGUCGAUGACGGUACCGGAAGAAUAAGGACCGGCUAACUACGUGCCAGCAGCCGCGGUAAUACGUAGGGUCCAAGCGUUAAUCGGAAUUACUGGGCGUAAAGCGUGCGCAGGCGGUUGUGCAAGACCGAUGUGAAAUCCCCGAGCUUAACUUGGGAAUUGCAUUGGUGACUGCACGGCUAGAGUGUGUCAGAGGGGGGUAGAAUUCCACGUGUAGCAGUGAAAUGCGUAGAGAUGUGGAGGAAUACCGAUGGCGAAGGCAGCCCCCUGGGAUAACACUGACGCUCAUGCACGAAAGCGUGGGGAGCAAACAGG